CUAUAUGCUUCCAUUCAAAUGCAUUGAUCGGCCAAAAAAAGGGAGGGGUUCCAACCCCCGGAACCCCCCUGGAUCCGCCACUGUGGAAACGGUCGAGCUCCCUACCCCUAAACCAUAUGUGGGGUAGAUCCAGGAUUUUAGGUUAGGAGGGGCGCAAACUUAAAUUUUUGCUGAGCAGAGCGAGGCUAAAAAAAAUUGAGGUAAAAUUAUCGGAAUUUUCUUUAUUAAGCUGAGAAACAACCCAUGCUUUGCAAAUUUAAGAGGGGGGGGGUGCAAGCCCGCAACCCUCCCCCGUCUAAAUCCGCCCCUGCAUAUAUUCAAGUAUAGGACAAUAUAAUAAAUAAAAAAUGAAAUAUAGGGGGAGUCCCUGGAGUUACCCCACCCUCCCUGUUUGAGAACUUGGAAACGGUCGAGAUCCACACCCCUUAACCAUAUAUAUUCAUGUUUGUGACAAUAUGAAAAAUCAAAUGAAAUAUAGGAAGAGUCGCUAGGGGUCACCCCACCCCUCCUGUUUUAGAAUUUAAAAAUGGUCGAGAUCCCCAUCCCUAAACCAUAUAUAUAUUCAUGUAUGGGACAAUAUAACAAAUCAGAUGAAAGAUAGGGGGAGUCCCUGAGGUCACUGUUCACGCUCCUGUUUGAGAACUUGGAAAUGGUCAAGAUCCAUACCCCUAAACCAUAUAUACUCAUGUAUGGGACAAUAUAACAAAUCAAAUGAAAUAUAAGGGAAGUCCCUGUGGUUGUUAAAUGCAGUAACCGGCGUUGAUUUCACAGGAGCUUUGUAUACAAAAGGAAAACACAACGAAUUAAGCAAAACAUAUAUUUGUUUAUUCACUUGCGCCGCUACACGAGCUAUACACUUGGAGAUAGUCACAGAUUUAACCGAGGAGUCUUUCAUGCUUGCUUUUAAAAGAUUUGUCGCUAGGAGAUCUACACCAAGGAUUAUGUUGUCCGAUAAUGCAACAACCUUCAAGGCAGCCGCCGAAAAGAUUACAAGAUCAAGCAAAGACAACCGAAUACAAGAAAAACUUGCCGAUCAAGGAACGGAGUGGAAAUUCAUACCCAACCGAGCACCGUGGUUUGGAGGCUUUUUGGGAACGCCUAAUUGGACUCACGAAAAAGUCAAUUAAAGCAAUACUAGGAAAGUCAUGUGUCACUACGGAAAUGUUGAAUACAAUUGUAAUCGAAAUCGAGGGAACUCUAAACAAUCGUCCGAUAACUCACAUUUCUACUGAUAUUAAAGAUCCCGAACCGCUGACGCCAGCGCACCUUUUAUAUGGUCGUCGACUUGACAACCAAUCGGAACAGAAUAUUGACAGUGCUACUUCCGAAGAUUUGCACGUGAAACUCAAUAAAAAUUUACAGAGAAAUAAUGAACUAAUCAACCAUUUUCGCUCAAGAUGGAAACACGAAUAUCUGACGUCACUCCGUGAAUUUCACCGUACAU
rnacentral:lncRNA from 1 species